CCUACGGGAGGCAGCAGUGGGGAAUAUUGCACAAUGGGGGAAACCCUGAUGCAGCGACGCCGCGUGAGUGAAGCCGUCUUUCGGUCUGUCCCGCUCUCUCCGCCGGGACGCUACUGACGGUACCUGACUAAGAAGCCCCGGCUAACUACGUGCCAGCAGCCGCGGUAAUACGUAGGGGGCAAGCGUUAUCCGGAUUUAAUGGGUGUAAAGGGAGCGUAGGUGGCAGGGCAAG
rnacentral:rRNA from 1 species